rnacentral:tRNA from 1 species
GGCUGGAUAGUCUAGUGGUUCAGACAUCCCCCUGGAGUUGGGAAGACCUAGGUUCAAAUCCUGGUCCUGCCA